UUAAAUCCCAAUAGGCCCGGUAUCUCCCAAAAACCUGAUACCUACUUUUUUUCCCCUCUAUCCCAUGGCACCGUCAAAGGGAGUGGUGUACUUCGAUAUUCACCUGAAAUCGGCUUCGAAGAACAUAAACUGAGCCCAUCAUCGUCGACUUCAAAGGAAAUAAGGGUGGCCUGAUAGAAUUUGAAGGGACAAUGCUCUAGAUCGAAGAUUAAGAGGGUCGAUUUUGAAUGAGGUGGAAGUGAUGGUGUUUCUGCCAUGGCUACUGUUAAAAAGGGAACGAAAUUGGAAUCGCAUAAGGUAAGAGCGUGAAUGGUUGGAAUUAGAUUUGGAAGAGGUUCUGUUUGCUCCUUUUCUAGGACUGUGUGCAGUUUUUAUUCCUCAGCAUUUGCAAAAACAGAGAAUUCGCUUUCAUUGGCAAUUGCAACGAGGUUUUGGAUUCAUCCACAUAAUCGUCAAAUUUUUGCGGUGGAGCAAUGACUCUAUUGAGAGGUUAAGCAAUAUUCAGAGUUUGUCUCUAAGUGAACUUAGUGAUGACAUUAUAAGUGAUGGACAUGUCGCAUCCACUGGUGACAAUAUGUUGUCGUUUUUCCUUUUUGCUCUUACAAUUCACGAUUGGUUUCAAGAAUAAUGAAGAAUGGGUAUGGUGGGAAAUGGGAAUGAGUGGUGAUGGAGGGACCGUUUGUCGACUGAUGUUGAGAAAAUGGUGUGUGUAAAUACCAGUGUGGGGUAUUUUUGGAGUGGAAAUCUCAUGAGGUUGAAAAGGUGGAAAUGAUGGUGGUUUAAAGAUGAUAGGUCAAUAUUAAUGGAGGAAAAUGUGUUAACACGAGGGGAGUUCAUGCCAAUGAGAGCACCAUUUGUUGGGAAUGUUGUUUGCGGAUGCUAAAGUGAAAUAAAAGCAAUUAUCAAAACAUGUUAAAUUA